GACGAACGCUGGCGGCGUGCCUAAUACAUGCAAGUAGAACGCUGAAGACUUUAGCUUGCUAAAGUUGGAAGAGUUGCGAACGGGUGAGUAACGCGUAGGUAACCUGCCUACUAGCGGGGGAUAACUAUUGGAAACGAUAGCUAAUACCGCAUAACAGCAUUUAACCCAUGUUAGAUGCUUGAAAGGAGCAAUUGCUUCACUAGUAGAUGGACCUGCGUUGUAUUAGCUAGUUGGUGAGGUAACGGCUCACCAAGGCGACGAUACAUAGCCGACCUGAGAGGGUGAUCGGCCACACUGGGAUUGAGACACGGCCCAGACUCCUACGGGAGGCAGCAGUAGGGAAUCUUCGGCAAUGGGGGCAACCCUGACCGAGCAACGCCGCGUGAGUGAAGAAGGUUUUCGGAUCGUAAAGCUCUGU
rnacentral:rRNA from 1 species